rnacentral:rRNA from 1 species
UACGUAGGGGGCAAGCGUUGUCCGGAUUCAUUGGGCGUAAAGAGCGUGUAGGCGGCCAGAUAGGUCAGCUGUGAAAAACUCGGGGGCUCAACCCCCGAGACGUCGGUUGAAACCAUCUGGCUAGAGUCCGGAAGAGGAGUGUGGAAUUCCCGGUGUAGCGGUGAAAUGCGCAGAUAUCGGGAAGAACACCCGUGGCGAAGGCGGUUCUCUGGGCAUGUCCUGACGCUGA